rnacentral:rRNA from 1 species
UUCGGUGGGGAUUAGUGGCGAACGGGUGAGUAACACGUGGGCAAUCUGCCCUGCACUCUGGGACAAGCCCUGGAAACGGGGUCUAAUACCGGAUACAACCACUGACCGCAUGGUCGGGUGGUGGAAAGCUCCGGCGGUGCAGGAUGAGCCCGCGGCCUAUCAGCUUGUUGGUGAGGUAACGGCUCACCAAGGCGACGACGGGUAGCCGGCCUGAGAGGGCGACCGGCCACACUGGGACUGAGACACGGCCCAGACUCCUACGGGAGGCAGCAGUGGGGAAUAUUGCACAAUGGGCGCAAGCCUGAUGCAGCGACGCCGCGUGAGGGAUGACGGCCUUCGGGUUGUAAACCUCUUUCAGCAGGGAAGAAGCGAGAGUGACGGUACCUGCAGAAGAAGCGCCGGCUAACUACGUGCCAGCAGCCGCGGUAAUACGUAGGGCGCAAGCGUUGUCCGGAAUUAUUGGGCGUAAAGAGCUCGUAGGCGGCUUGUCGCGUCGGUUGUGAAAGCCCGGGGCUUAACCCCGGGUCUGCAGUCGAUACGGGCAGGCUAGAGUUCGGUAGGGGAGAUCGGAAUUCCUGGUGUAGCGGUGAAAUGCCCAGAUAUCAGGAGGAACACCGGUGGCGAAAGCGGAUCUCUGGGCCG